AAAUAAUGCGGCAAUAUUGUAUUUCUGAGCCGUUUUGAAGAGUUCUUUGCGUACAUUGUUAUUUGCUUGGAUCGGAUUGGAAAAUUUGAGUCAUUUAGAGAAAUGGAGAGUUGAGAAAGAAGUGAUUAAGGCGACGCUCACGCUCUAAGAAACCAUUCCGUGGUUUCAGCAAAAAUCGCAAUCAGUCAAAAUCAUUAUCUACUUCAAGGACGAGAAGUUGCGGUACAUCUGCUCUCAUAGCUGCCCCUGACUGCUCACUCAGAGAUCCACGCUUAGACAAAAUGAACACAGUGGCAAAAGGAAUCUUUCACUUUUCGCUCGAUCCAAGCUGCAGUGAAACGUGUCAGCGUGAACAGGAGAAACACAUUUGUCACCGAAAUACUCCAAGGGUGGAAUAUGUUCAAAGUUACAGAGUUGGAAUAAUAAUAUUAAAAACUGUAAAAACGGAGGUAACUGGUGAGGUCGAAGCUGUAGCGAAAAGAGGACUGCUUUAGUUCUUUCAAUUCAGUUUGUUCUGGUUGGACUACUAACAGCCCUAUCUUUUUUCUUGAACGACACCUCGACAAAAUGGACGUUGUUUUCUGUGUUUGCCGUUAUUGAGAAUGGUGUUACAUUCAUGUUGUAUGGACUGGACAAAGGCAAUGCAGAGAACCAACGAUGGAGGGUCCCAGAAAGGCAGGGUUGUUAUGGGUUGCCGAGAACAUUCUGGAAAAUAAUAAACAAAUAAAGUUGUUAAAUAAACAAGUUUUGCUCCUAGUUAAAUCUUAAUCUUAAAUCGUUUCGUCUAAUUAGAAAAGGCCUAAAGAAUUUUCCAUAGAAAACUUCAUGGAGAGUUCUGCUGGAAAUCUUAUUGCAACCCUGUCCAAAGAGUUCUUCUGCUGUUCAAUUUGUGUUUUGGCUUCGCUGGGGCGUUGUCAGCAAUGCAGUGUUUCAGACACAAGACAUGCAAGGGAUCCUUCAUUUGGACAACGUUACUGUGCUCUGUAGUCAGUUGUAUCCUCUACUGGUGUCUGUAUUAUCUCAUGUUCAACAUCAUACCCUAGUACGGUGGAUGGAAAAUUAUCUUUCAGCAUUCCGUUAAGGCUAAACUGUUUGAAAGUUUUCAAAUAUUGUUGUUUUGAUAUGAUUUUAUGAUUUGUAUGCAGUAGUCUUUGUCUUUUAGAGCAAGUUUUUGUUUCCACUUGUUUUGUAAUUCUUGUUUAUUCGUUCAGCAAAUUCUGUAAGUUGUUUCCAAAAACAGAAUUUUUAGAAACUCAAAGCCUAUUAUAUUAGCAAUUGAAAAGCAAUGCGCAAUUUUAUUUGAUUCAAUGAGGGUAGAUAGUACAAAGGCCUCUGCCAUUCCGGGUACUAGACUUUUGGCUUUUGUCUGAAACUAUGUGAAAUAGAGUACAUCUGAUAACAAACUUUUGAGAAAAAAAUCA